GGGGAAUUUUGGACAAUGGGGGCAACCCUGAUCCAGCCAUUCCGCGUGAGUGAAGAAGGCCUUCGGGUUGUAAAGCUCUUUCGGCAGGAACGAAACGGUGAGGGCUAAUAUCCCUUGCUAAUGACGGUACCUGAAGAAGAAGCACCGGCUAACUACGUGCCAGCAGCCGCGGUAAUACGUAGGGUGCGAGCGUUAAUCGGAAUUACUGGGCGUAAAGCGUGCGCAGGCGGUUUUGUAAGACAGCUGUGAAAUCCCCGGGCUUAACCUGGGAACUGCGGUUGUGACUGCAAGACUGGAGUGCGGCAGAGGGGGGUGGAAUUCCACGUGUAGCAGUGAAAUGCGUAGAGAUGUGGAGGAACACCGAUGGCGAAGGCAGCCCCCUGGGUCGACACUGACGCUCAUGCACGAAAGCGUGGGGAGCAAAC
rnacentral:rRNA from 1 species